GUCCUCUUGAGUUUUAAUAAUUUGAGGUCUGACCUGCCCACUGAAGAUUUUAAAGGGCCGCGGUAUUUUGACCGUGCAAAGGUAGCAUAAUCAUUAGUCUUUUAAUUGAAGGCUGGAAUGAAUGGUUGGACGAGGCACUGACUGUCUCAUUAUAAAUGGGAUUAGAAUUUAACUUUUGAGUGAAAAGGCUUAAAUGAAUUUAAAGGACGAGAAGACCCUAUAGAUCUUUAUGUUAAUAGAUUUGUAAUAAAUUUAGUAGAUUUAAUUUGUUUCAAAGUUAUUGGUAUUUUAUUGGGGUGAUAGGAAGAUAAAAAAAACUCUUUUUAUAAGGUGACCAAUGAUUUUUGAAUUUUUGAU
rnacentral:rRNA from 1 species